CUCCAAUUCAUUCUAUCUGUGACAAAGUAAAUGAUUUCAAUAUAAAGAUUUUAAGAUAGGAGUAUAAAACUUAGGUCUUAUUGUCACAAAGAAAGUUAACAAAGCGACGCGUAAUGGAGUAAGGAAAACGCAUAUUUGUGAGAGAUAAACUCUAUAAUUCAUUUAGCACCGAAUCAAAUUGACAAUUGAAAUGGAAGAUAGAAGUGUGUAUCCCCCAAAACAGUUUUUUUUCAUUAAGAUUGUUAACAGCAUCGGCAUUUGGUAUCUAUUAAACAGUCGAUUCAGAUUCAAUAUUUUAUUUCAUCAAAC
rnacentral:lncRNA from 1 species